rnacentral:rRNA from 1 species
UACGUAGGAGGCGAGCGUUGUCCGGAAUCACUGGGUGUAAAGCGCGCGUAGGCGGCCUGCCAAGUCUGCUGUGAAAGCGCCUGGCUUAACCGGGCGAGGUCGGUGGAAACUGGCGGGCUGGAGGACGGUAGAGGGGGGUGGAAUUCCCGGUGUAGUGGUGAAAUGCGUAGAGAUCGGGAGGAACACCAGUGGCGAAGGCGGCCCCCUGGGCCGUUCCUGACGCUGAGACGCGAAGGCGCGGGGAGCGAACGGG